rnacentral:rRNA from 1 species
CACGUAGGGGGCGAGCGUUGUCCGGAUUUAUUGGGCGUAAAGAGCUCGUAGGCGGCUUGGUAAGUCAGGUGUGAAACCUCCAGGCUCAACCUGGAGACGCCACUUGAUACUGCCAUAGCUAGAGUCCGGUAGGGGAGCGUGGAAUUUCUGGUGUAGCGGUGAAAUGCGCAGAUAUCAGAAGGAACACCGGUGGCGAAGGCGGGUCUCUGGGCCGUAACUGACGCUGAGGAGCGAAAGCAUGGGGAGCGAACAGG